UACGUAGGGUGCGAGCGUUAAUCGGAAUUACUGGGCGUAAAGCGUGCGCAGGCGGUUUUGUAAGCCAGAUGUGAAAUCCCCGGGCUUAACCUGGGAAUGGCAUUUGGGACUGCAAGGCUGGAGUUUGGCAGAGGAGACUGGAAUUCCUGGUGUAGCAGUGAAAUGCGUAGAUAUCAGGGGGAAUACCGAUGGCGAAGGCAGGUCUCUGGGCUAUAACUGACGCUCAUGCACGAAAGCGUGGGGAGCAAACAGG
rnacentral:rRNA from 1 species